rnacentral:rRNA from 1 species
UGAUUCCACAUUCAACCGCACCACCGGUUCGGUGUUGGAGGAGCGCAGGUUAAAGCGCCAGUCGGCAAAGGUCAUGCUGAUGCCAUCGGUGCGAUCCACCGCCAGCGCCUCGCGGCUAAAAUGCUGUUCCACGCGAUUAAUUGCCUCAACGGGUUGCGCCAGUUUGCUGUUGAUCUCACCGCUUGCCGGAAACGCCGCCAUCCGGUCGCGCACCAUUUCGCCCAGCGUUUUUCCUUUCAGGCACACCAGUUCGGCGACCAGCAGCCACGGGAUCAUGCCGCUGUCGCAGUAAGCGAAAUCACGGAAGUAAUGGUGAGCGCUCAUUUCGCCACCGUAGAUGGCGUCUUCCUUGCGCAUACGUUCUUUAAUAAAGGCGUGUCCGGUUUUCGACAUUACCGGGGUGCCGCCUGCGGCAGUCACCACAUCAACGGUGUUCCAGGAGAGAC